rnacentral:lncRNA from 1 species
CUGCGCCCUCACAGCUUUCAGCACACAAUUACCCUCAUUCCAAUCACUAGAAUUCUUCAUAUAGAACUGCCAUUCACAUUACGGUGUUUCACACAAACACAGACUCAUUCUCUCUGCUGAACUACAAUCAAAUUUCAGCAUUCAAUCUUUCUUCUUCUCAAAUAAUACCAAUCACAUUUCCAUUCCAUAAUUCACUUUACAAUAUUCAGAAACUCUCAAUCCUCUUAUUCAAAGAAAAUAACAAACAAAAGAAAAGAAGUAGCACCAAGCUUACCCCGGCUCACACUAUCACAGCAAUGGCCCUCGACUCACGACUCUCACAAUCUGGCACCCUAAUUAACUUCUACAAUUCUUAUAUACUUUCC